rnacentral:rRNA from 1 species
GACGAACGCUGGCGGCGUGCUUAACACAUGCAAGUCGAACGGAAAGGCCCUGCUUUUGGGGGGUGCGCGAGUGGCGAACGGGUGAGUAACCCGUGAGUAACCUGCCCCUGACUUUGGGAUAACUUCAGGCAGCUGGGGCUCAUACCGGAAAGGAGCUCCUGCUGCAGGGUGGGGGCUGGAAAGUUUCGGCGGUUGGGGAUGGACUCGCGGCGUAUCAGCUUGUUGGUGGGGUAGUGGCUUACCAAGGCUUUGACGGGUAGCCGGCCUGGGAGGGUGACCGGCCACACUGGGCCUGAGAUACGGCCCAGACUCCUCCGGGAGGCAGCAGUGGGGAAUAUUGCACAAUGGGCGGAAGCCUGAUGCAGCAACGCCGCGUGCGGGAUGACGGCCUUCGGGUUGUAAACCGCUUUCGCCUGUGACGAAGCGUGAGUGACGGUAAUGGGUAAAGAAGCACCGGCUAACUACGUG